rnacentral:lncRNA from 1 species
UGCAUUCAAGGUUGGAAGACUUAAUUGAUGAGCGUGUAGAAAAUAUACAAAAACAAAAAAAAAAACGUGGUGAAAAGUUUGCAAAACCAUAAAAGGGAACAUAAACCAAAUAAAAACCAAUAUAAAAGUGUUGUGGCUGCAAAGACGAAAACUUAAAAACCAACCCCUGGAUAAGGUACGACAAGAAAAAAAUGAAAAAGUGACCUUAUUACAUAAUUCCAUGUAUGUACUGUACAUAGGUUAUGAUCCACGUGUGGCAGGAAAUUGCUGACCUGGCCUGACCCUCGGUCUCGGAGGGGGGGUCCGCUCCAGUACCACGAUCAUCCGUCCCUCUUUUUGGUGCCACCGGACCUUGCCUGCAGGCGAAAAAACGGAUGGACUUGGCGAUCGGGACCGAGUUUUUUUAUACAUAUAUCUCACGCGCAACUAUUAAACCAUCUAUUAUAUUAUAUCACCGCGCCUUGUGUAAAGAAAUGUUGG